rnacentral:rRNA from 1 species
GGGGAAUAUUGGGCAAUGGGCGCAAGCCUGACCCAGCAACGCCGCGUGAGGGAAGAAGGUUUUCGGAUUGUAAACCUCUGUCGCAGGGGACGAAGAAAGUGACGGUACCCUGUGAGGAAGCCCCGGCUAACUACGUGCCAGCAGCCGCGGUAAGACGUAGGGGGCAAGCGUUGUCCGGAAUUACUGGGCGUAAAGGGUGCGUAGGCGGCAAUUCAAGUCUGAUGUGAAAUUCCCGUGCUUAACAUGGGGCUUGCAUCGGAAACUGAAUAGCUAGAGUGCAGGAGAGGUAAGCGGAAUUCCUAGUGUAGCGGUGAAAUGCAUAGAUAUUAGGAGGAACACCAGUGGCGAAGGCGGCUUACUGGACUGUAACUGACGCUGAAGCACGAAAGCGUGGGGAGCAAACA